rnacentral:rRNA from 1 species
UUAAGCGACUAAGCGUACACGGUGGAUGCCCUGGCAGUCAGAGGCGAUGAAGGACGUGCUAAUCUGCGAUAAGCGUCGGUAAGGUGAUAUGAACCGUUAUAACCGGCGAUUUCCGAAUGGGGAAACCCAGUGUGUUUCGACACACUAUCAUUAACUGAAUCCAUAGGUUAAUGAGGCGAACCGGGGGAACUGAAACAUCUAAGUACCCCGAGGAAAAGAAAUCAACCGAGAUUCCCCCAGUAGCGGCGAGCGAACGGGGAGCAGCCCAGAGCCUGAAUCAGUGUGUGUGUUAGUGGAAGCGUCUGGAAAGGCGCGCGAUACAGGGUGACAGCCCCGUACACAAAAAUGCACAUGCUGUGAGCUCGAUGAGUAGGGCGGGACACGUGGUAUCCUGUCUGAAUAUGGGGGGACCAUCCUCCAAGGCUAAAUACUCCUGACUGACCGAUAGUGAACCAGUACCGUGAGGGAAAGGCGAAAAGAACCCCGGCGAGGGGAGUGAAAAAGAACCUGAAACCGUGUACGUACAAGCAGUGGGAGCACGCUUAGGCGUGUGACUGCGUACCUUUUGUAUAAUGGGUCAGCGACUUAUAUUCUGUAGCAAGGUUAACCGAAUAGGGGAGCCGAAGGGAAACCGAGUCUUAACUGGGCGUUAAGUUGCAGGGUAUAGACCCGAAACCCGGUGAUCUAGCCAUGGGCAGGUUGAAGGUUGGGUAACACUAACUGGAGGACCGAACCGACUAAUGUUGAAAAAUUAGCGGAUGACUUGUGGCUGGGGGUGAAAGGCCAAUCAAACCGGGAGAUAGCUGGUUCUCCCCGAAAGCUAUUUAGGUAGCGCCUCGUGAAUUCAUCUCCGGGGGUAGAGCACUGUUUCGGCAAGGGGGUCAUCCCGACUUACCAACCCGAUGCAAACUGCGAAUACCGGAGAAUGUUAUCACGGGAGACACACGGCGGGUGCUAACGUCCGUCGUGAAGAGGGAAACAACCCAGACCGCCAGCUAAGGUCCCAAAGUCAUGGUUAAGUGGGAAACGAUGUGGGAAGGCCCAGACAGCCAGGAUGUUGGCUUAGAAGCAGCCAUCAUUUAAAGAAAGCGUAAUAGCUCACUGGUCGAGUCGGCCUGCGCGGAAGAUGUAACGGGGCUAAACCAUGCACCGAAGCUGCGGCAGCGACGCUUAUGCGUUGUUGGGUAGGGGAGCGUUCUGUAAGCCUGUGAAGGUGUGCUGUGAGGCAUGCUGGAGGUAUCAGAAGUGCGAAUGCUGACAUAAGUAACGAUAAAGCGGGUGAAAAGCCCGCUCGCCGGAAGACCAAGGGUUCCUGUCCAACGUUAAUCGGGGCAGGGUGAGUCGACCCCUAAGGCGAGGCCGAAAGGCGUAGUCGAUGGGAAACAGGUUAAUAUUCCUGUACUUGGUGUUACUGCGAAGGGGGGACGGAGAAGGCUAUGUUGGCCGGGCGACGGUUGUCCCGGUUUAAGCGUGUAGGCUGGUUUUCCAGGCAAAUCCGGAAAAUCAAGGCUGAGGCGUGAUGACGAGGCACUACGGUGCUGAAGCAACAAAUGCCCUGCUUCCAGGAAAAGCCUCUAAGCAUCAGGUAACAUCAAAUCGUACCCCAAACCGACACAGGUGGUCAGGUAGAGAAUACCAAGGCGCUUGAGAGAACUCGGGUGAAGGAACUAGGCAAAAUGGUGCCGUAACUUCGGGAGAAGGCACGCUGAUAUGUAGGUGAAGUCCCUUGCGGAUGGAGCUGAAAUCAGUCGAAGAUACCAGCUGGCUGCAACUGUUUAUUAAAAACACAGCACUGUGCAAACACGAAAGUGGACGUAUACGGUGUGACGCCUGCCCGGUGCCGGAAGGUUAAUUGAUGGGGUUAGCGGUAACGCGAAGCUCUUGAUCGAAGCCCCGGUAAACGGCGGCCGUAACUAUAACGGUCCUAAGGUAGCGAAAUUCCUUGUCGGGUAAGUUCCGACCUGCACGAAUGGCGUAAUGAUGGCCAGGCUGUCUCCACCCGAGACUCAGUGAAAUUGAACUCGCUGUGAAGAUGCAGUGUACCCGCGGCAAGACGGAAAGACCCCGUGAACCUUUACUAUAGCUUGACACUGAACAUUGAGCCUUGAUGUGUAGGAUAGGUGGGAGGCUUUGAAGUGUGGACGCCAGUCUGCAUGGAGCCGACCUUGAAAUACCACCCUUUAAUGUUUGAUGUUCUAACGUUGACCCGUAAUCCGGGUUGCGGACAGUGUCUGGUGGGUAGUUUGACUGGGGCGGUCUCCUCCUAAAGAGUAACGGAGGAGCACGAAGGUUGGCUAAUCCUGGUCGGACAUCAGGAGGUUAGUGCAAUGGCAUAAGCCAGCUUGACUGCGAGCGUGACGGCGCGAGCAGGUGCGAAAGCAGGUCAUAGUGAUCCGGUGGUUCUGAAUGGAAGGGCCAUCGCUCAACGGAUAAAAGGUACUCCGGGGAUAACAGGCUGAUACCGCCCAAGAGUUCAUAUCGACGGCGGUGUUUGGCACCUCGAUGUCGGCUCAUCACAUCCUGGGGCUGAAGUAGGUCCCAAGGGUAUGGCUGUUCGCCAUUUAAAGUGGUACGCGAGCUGGGUUUAGAACGUCGUGAGACAGUUCGGUCCCUAUCUGCCGUGGGCGCUGGAGAACUGAGGGGGGCUGCUCCUAGUACGAGAGGACCGGAGUGGACGCAUCACUGGUGUUCGGGUUGUCAUGCCAAUGGCACUGCCCGGUAGCUAAAUGCGGAAGAGAUAAGUGCUGAAAGCAUCUAAGCACGAAACUUGCCCCGAGAUGAGUUCUCCCUGACUCCUUGAGAGUCCUGAAGGAACGUUGAAGACGACGACGUUGAUAGGCCGGGUGUGUAAGCGCAGCGAUGCGUUGAGCUAACCGGUACUAAUGAACCGUGAGGCUUAACCUU